CAGAAGAGGAGAGUGGAAUUCCACGUGUAGCGGUGAAAUGCGUAGAGAUGUGGAGGAACACCAGUGGCGAAGGCGACUCUCUGGUCUGUAACUGACGCUGAGGAGCGAAAGCGUGGGGAGCGAACAGGAUUAGAUACCCUGGUAGUCCACGCCGUAAACGAUGAGUGCUAGGUGUUAGGGGGUUUCCGCCCCUUAGUGCUGAAGUUAACGCAUUAAGCACUCCGCCUGGGGAGUACGGCCGCAAGGCUGAAACUCAAAAGAAUUGACGGGGGCCCGCACAAGCGGUGGAGCAUGUGGUUUAAUUCGAAGCAACGCGAAGAACCUUACCAGGUCUUGACAUCCUCUGAACACUCUAGAGAUAGAGUUUUCCCUUCGGGGACAGAGUGACAGGUGGUGCAUGGUUGUCGUCAGCUCGUGUCGUGAGAUGUUGGGUUAAGUCCCGCAACGAGCGCAACCCUUGAUCUUAGUUGCCAGCAUUCAGUUGGGCACUCUAAGGUGACUGCCGGUGACAAACCGGAGGAAGGUGGGGACGACGUCAAAUCAUCAUGCCCCUUAUGACCUGGGCUACACACGUGCUACAAUGGAUGGAACAAAGGGAAGCGAACCCGCGAGGUCAAGCAAAUCCCACAAAACCAUUCUCAGUU
rnacentral:rRNA from 1 species